rnacentral:rRNA from 1 species
GAUGAACGCUGGCGGCGUGCCUAAUACAUGCAAGUCGAGCGAACGGACGAGAAGCUUGCUUCUCUGAUGUUAGCGGCGGACGGGGGAGUAACACGUGGAUAACCUACCUAUAAGACUGGGAUAACUUCGGGAAACCGGAGCUAAUACCGGAUGAUAUUUUGAACCGCAUGGUUCAAAAGUGAAAGACGGUCUUGCUGUCACUUAUAGAUGGAUCCGCGCUGCAUUAGCUAGUUGGUAAGGUAACGGCUUACCAAGGCAACGAUGCAUAGCCGACCUGAGAGGGUGAACGGCCACCCUGGAACUGAGACACGGCCCACACUCCUACGGGAGGAAGCAGUAGGGAAUCUUACGCAAUGGGCGAAAGCCUGACGGAGCAACGCCGCGUGAGUGAUGAAGGUCUUAGGAUCGUAAAACUCUGUUAUUAGGGAAGAACAUAUGUGUAAGUAAAUGUGCACAUCUUGACGGUACCUAAUCAGAAAGCCACGGCUAACUACGUG